GAUGAACGCUGACAGAAUGCUUAACACAUGCAAGUCAACUUGAAUUUGGGUUUUUAACUUAGGUUUGGGUGGCGGACGGGUGAGUAACGCGUAAAGAACUUGCCUCACAGCUAGGGACAACAUUUGGAAACGAAUGCUAAUACCUAAUAUUAUGAUAAUAGGGCAUCCUAUAAUUAUGAAAGCUAUAAGCGCUGUGAGAGAGCUUUGCGUCCCAUUAGCUAGUUGGAGAGGUAACGGCUCACCAAGGCGAUGAUGGAUAGCCGGCCUGAGAGGGUGAUCGGCCACAAGGGGACUGAGACACGGCCCUUACUCCUACGGGAGGCAGCAGUGGGGAAUAUUGGACAAUGGACCGAGAGUCUGAUCCAGCAAUUCUGUGUGCACGAUGAAGUUUUUCGGAAUGUAAAGUGCUUUCAGUUGGGAAGAAACAAAUGACGGUACCAACAGAAGAAGUGACGGCUAAAUACGUG
rnacentral:rRNA from 1 species